rnacentral:rRNA from 1 species
GACGAACGCUGGCGGCGUGCCUAAUACAUGCAAGUAGAACGCACAGUUUAUACCGUAGCUUGCUACACCAUAGACUGUGAGUUGCGAACGGGUGAGUAACGCGUAGGUAACCUGCCUGGUAGCGGGGGAUAACUAUUGGAAACGAUAGCUAAUACCGCAUAAUAUUAAUUAUUGCAUGAUAAUUAAUUGAAAGGUGCAAUUGCACCACUACCAGAUGGACCUGCGUUGUAUUAGCUAGUAGGUGAGGUAACGGCUCACCUAGGCGACGAUACAUAGCCGACCUGAGAGGGUGAUCGGCCACACUGGGACUGAGACACGGCCCAGACUCCCACGGGAGGCAGCAGUAGGGAUUCUUCGGCAAUGGACGAAAGUCUGACCGAGCAACGCCGCGUGAGUGAAGAAGGUUUUCGGAUCGUAAAGCUCUGUUGUAAGAGAAGAACGGGUGUGAGAGUGGAAAGUUCACACUGUGACGGUAGCUUACCAGAAAGGGACGGCUAACUACGUG